GUAGAACUGUGCCUGAGAUCUCUGCCUCUCUGGAGGGAGACUGCUUCUUUGCCAUUGGAAUAAUCACCAUACUCACAGCAAGAGCUUUGGGUGCUGGUUCCUGCCACAGCCCAGAGAACAUUUAGAAGGUAGAGGUUCAGAGGUUCAGUCUGUUAUUAUGGUGGGACAUUGGUGGCGUGCCAGCAGACAUGGUGUUGGAGAGGUAGCAGAGAAUUCUACAUCUUGACCAGGCAUCAGGAAGUGGUCUGAGACACUGGCAUGGCCCGAGAGUAUAUGAGACCUCAAAAGCCCCAUGGGAAGAGAUCAUCAUGCUCCAGUGUUGAAUGAAACACAGGUCAGUGCAUACUUGAAUGUAGUUAAAAAGAAAGUUCAAGAUGCCUGCUGAGAGAGAAGAAAAUAGAAUAAUCCUCAGAGAUGGAAUGGAAUUCACAGGAUGAAGAGGAUGGCAGAGUCGGGGGGAAUGGUUCUACAGUCCAAGUCAGUGGAGAAGACACAGUCUCCUGAGAUCUCUGAACACUGGAGUAUUACUCAUAGUUUCAAUUUCUUCUUGUAAUUUGACUUUUAACUGGUCAAUUAUGUGAUGUUUAGUACACACACACACACACACACACACACACACACACACACGUAUAUAUGGUACAAAAUUAGUCUUACAUGUUCCCAGAGCCAGUAUAAUCAAAUCAACCUGUCCCAAGCUUAAAUACAUCCCUGAAAAGGGAAGCAUUCAGGUUUUACAGGGUCGCUGCUUCUCAUUUCAUUUAUUUUUGCCUCCUGUCUUCUUUGAGACUCAUUUUGCCUGUCACUUCUUUCUCUACCCUUACCGGUCUUUCAUUGUUCUCAUUAGCCUCAGGGGGGCUUUUUGUGAAUGAACUGUAUCAUGAAAGGCAGCUAUCAGUCUUUUCAUGAUGCCAUGGGAUCUUUUGAGAAUCAUGCAGUACUUAGAAAAAUGAAAAAAGACAAAAUAAAUAAAUGAUAAAAAUGUAGGAUUUUUCUCUUUAAGCAACAACAAUAAGUGAACAUCAAAAUUUUCAGGGUUUCAUGCUUAGAAUAUCAUUAUAAGGAGAUGAGCGUGGAUUCAUUUCUUAUAUUAACGAGGCACCAGAGGCUCAGUAUUCAUAUGACUGGCCCAAGGCUGACCUGGUCAAAUCUCUUGCUCCCUGCUUACUUCUCUACUGUAAGCUUUCUUAGCUUUAUUCUAUAUCUCUGUGUGGUUGACUCCAGCUAGCUUAUACAGUGUUCAUGUGUAAGCGAGAGUCCGCAUCUUUUGUUUUCUGUCAUGGUCUCCUUUUCUUUUUAUACUAUUAUUUUAUUCAGUGUAUAAAAUAGUAAGUUUCAUUAUGGUAUCUUCAUAUAUGUAUAUCACUGUUCUAUGAUCAUAUUCAUCCCCACCUUUGUGGUCUUUUUAAUGGAAAUUUUUUUUUAGGAUGGCAAACCUGUUUUAUAUGUCAUAGGAAAUAUAGAUCUAUCUAUCUAUCUAUCUCUAUCUAUCUAUCUAUCAUUAUUUAUUUACUUAUUUAUUUGUGUGUGUAGGUGCACAUGCAUG